CCUACGGGUGACAGCAGUGAGGAAUAUUGGUCAAUGGACGAGAGUCUGAACCAGCCAAGUAGCGUGAAGGAUGACUGCCCUAUGGGUUGUAAACUUCUUUUAUAUGGGAAUAAAAUGUUCCACGUGUGGGUUUUUGUAUGUACCAUAUGAAUAAGGAUCGGCCAACUCCGUGCCAGCAGCCGCGGUAAUACGGAGGAUCCGAGCGUUAUCCGGAUUUAUUGGGUUUAAAGGGAGCGUAGGUGGAUUGUUAAGUCAGUUGUGAAAGUUUGCGGCUCAACCGUAAAAUUGCAGUUGAAACUGGCAGUCUUGAGUACAGUAGAGGUGGGCGGAAUUCGUGGUGUAGCGGUGAAAUGCUUAGAGAUCACGAAGAACACCGAUUGCGAAGGCAGCUCACUGGACUACAACUGACGCUGAGGCUCGAAAGUGUGGGUAGCAAACAGGAUUAGAUACCCCAGUAGUC
rnacentral:rRNA from 1 species